UACGUAGGGUGCGAGCGUUAAUCGGAAUUACUGGGCGUAAAGCGUGCGCAGGCGGUUUUGUAAGCCAGAUGUGAAAACCCCGGGCUUAACCUGGGAAUGGCAUUUGUGACUGCAUGGCUAGAGUACGGUAGAGGGGGAUGGAAUUCCGCGUGUAGCAGUGAAAUGCGUAGAUAUGCGGAGGAACACCGAUGGCGAAGGCAAUCCCCUGGACCUGUACUGACGCUCAUGCACGAAAGCGUGGGGAGCAAACAGG
rnacentral:rRNA from 1 species